GGUUUGAUCCUGGCUCAGGAUGAACGCUAGCUACAGGCUUAACACAUGCAAGUCGAGGGGCAGCAUGGUCUUAGCUUGCUAAGGCCGAUGGCGACCGGCGCACGGGUGAGUAACACGUAUCCAACCUGCCGUCUACUCUUGGACAGCCUUCUGAAAGGAAGAUUAAUACAAGAUGGCAUCAUGAGUCCGCAUGUUCACAUGAUUAAAGGUAUUCCGGUAGACGAUGGGGAUGCGUUCCAUUAGAUAGUAGGCGGGGUAACGGCCCACCUAGUCUUCGAUGGAUAGGGGUUCUGAGAGGAAGGUCCCCCACAUUGGAACUGAGACACGGUCCAAACUCCUACGGGAGGCAGCAGUGAGGAAUAUUGGUCAAUGGGCGAGAGCCUGAACCAGCCAAGUAGCGUGAAGGAUGACUGCCCUAUGGGUUGUAAACUUCUUUUAUAAAGGAAUAAAGUCGGGUAUGCAUACCCGUUUGCAUGUACUUUAUGAAUAAGGAUCGGCUAACUCCGUGCCAGCAGCCGCGGUAAUACGGAGGAUCCGAGCGUUAUCCGGAUUUAUUGGGUUUAAAGGGAGCGUAGAUGGAUGUUUAAGUCAGUUGUGAAAGUUUGCGGCUCAACCGUAAAAUUGCAGUUGAUACUGGAUAUCUUGAGUGCAGUUGAGGCAGGCGGAAUUCGUGGUGUAGCGGUGAAAUGCUUAGAUAUCACGAAGAACUCCGAUUGCGAAGGCAGCCUGCUAAGCUGCAACUGACAUUGAGGCUCGAAAGUGUGGGUAUCAAACAGGAUUAGAUACCCUGGUAGUCCACACGGUAAACGAUGAAUACUCGCUGUUUGCGAUAUACAGCAAGCGGCCAAGCGAAAGCGUUAAGUAUUCCACCUGGGGAGUACGCCGGCAACGGUGAAACUCAAAGGAAUUGACGGGGGCCCGCACAAGCGGAGGAACAUGUGGUUUAAUUCGAUGAUACGCGAGGAACCUUACCCGGGCUUAAAUUGCAGAUGAAUUACGGUGAAAGCCGUAAGCCGCAAGGCAUCUGUGAAGGUGCUGCAUGGUUGUCGUCAGCUCGUGCCGUGAGGUGUCGGCUUAAGUGCCAUAACGAGCGCAACCCUUGUUGUCAGUUACUAACAGGUUCUGCUGAGGACUCUGACAAGACUGCCAUCGUAAGAUGUGAGGAAGGUGGGGAUGACGUCAAAUCAGCACGGCCCUUACGUCCGGGGCUACACACGUGUUACAAUGGGGGGUACAGAGGGCCGCUACCACGCGAGUGGAUGCCAAUCCCAAAAACCUCUCUCAGUUCGGACUGGAGUCUGCAACCCGACUCCACGAAGCUGGAUUCGCUAGUAAUCGCGCAUCAGCCACGGCGCGGUGAAUACGUUCCCGGGCCUUGUACACACCGCCCGUCAAGCCAUGGGAGCCGGGGGUACCUGAAGUGCGUAACCGCGAGGAGCGCCCUAGGGUAAAACUGGUGACUGGGGCUAAGUCGUAACAAGGUAGCC
rnacentral:rRNA from 1 species